GUGAGGAAUUUUCCGCAAUGGGCGAAAGCCUGACGGAGCAAUGCCGCGUGAAGGAUGAAGGCCUAUGGGUUGUAAACUUCUUUUCUCAGAAAAGAAUUAUGACGGUAUCUGAGGAAUAAGCAUCGGCUAACUCUGUGCCAGCAGCCGCGGUAAGACAGAGGAUGCAAGCGUUAUCCGGAAUGAUUGGGCGUAAAGCGUCUGUAGGUUGUUUAAAAAGUAUUCUGUCAAAGAUUAGGGCUUAACCCUAGAUAGGCAGAAUAAACUUUUAAGCUAGAGUUUGGUAGAGGCAGAGGGAAUUCCCGGUGGAGCGGUGAAAUGUGUAGAUAUCGGGAGGAACACCAAAGGCGAAGGCACUCUGCUGGGCCAAUACUAACACUGAGAGACGAAAGCGAGGGGAGCAAAUGGGAUUAGAUACCCCGGUAGUCC
rnacentral:rRNA from 1 species